rnacentral:rRNA from 1 species
GAUGAACGCUAGCGGCAGGCUUAACACAUGCAAGUCGAGGGGCAGCAUGGGACGGAGAUUCGUCGAAGUCCUGAUGGCGACCGGCGCAAGGGUGCGUAACGCGUGAGCAACUUGCCCGCUUCAGGGGGAUAACCGGUGGAAACGCCGACUAAUACCCCAUAGUAUUGAUUUAAGGCAUCUUUAUCAAUUAAAGAAUUUCGGAAACGGAUAGGCUCGCGUGACAUUAGCUAGAUGGCGGGGUAACGGCCCACCAUGGCUACGAUCAGUAGCCGGUCUGAGAGGAUGAACGGCCACAUUGGGACUGAGAUACGGCCCAGACUCCUACGGGAGGCAGCAGUGGGGAAUAUUGGGCAAUGGGGGAAACCCUGACCCAGCAACGCCGCGUGAAGG